ensembl:lncRNA
CUCUGUUUUCUUCUUGCUGUUCUCCAUCACUUCUCCCCCAGAGUCUGCAGGCCCGGUUUCAAGAGGCCCUGCAAGCAAGGGACAGGCUGGAGGCUGAAAUGAGGCGAGAGCUCCAGGUCGAGCUGCAGGCCCAGUUCAGAGCUCGAUUUCAAGGCCUGAGGGCUCAGAUGGAGGAAGACAAGGUCCAGGCCGUAGGGGAGGCCUGCAGGAAGCGGCAAGAACAGCUGCACAAAGAAGCAGAGGAGACCAGAGAGAAAAUAAUACACACUGUACGAGAAGAGACACAGUUUUCUGGAGAUUGUAGACAAAAGCCUGAAAUCUGAGACCAACUGAUGCUCAUUCAUGAGUGUGUGAGGAGGUGUGUGCAGGAUGCUGAGAGAAGCAUUCGUGAGGAGUGUGACAUGAAGGCAGAAAGACAGAAACAGGCCCUACAGGACAGACAUGAAGAGAAGAUAUCUAAGCUACAAAACAGGAUACAGCAGCUGCAGGACAGUCUGGAGCAGGCCUGCAGGGAGCGCAUUCAGUAUGAAGCAGAGUUUAAGAAGGUGCAGGCCAGCUACAGGCGGUUUGUGGACCUGACUGAUUCCUCCCUCCACUCUGAUUACCUCUUAAAACUGCGCAGACUGGGGAGAGAGCCAGGUCUCACGGACACUGCGACACAGACUGAUGAGAUCACCUCCUAGCUUGUGAUGGCAGUGUGCACACUGUCUGGGUAUUUGACAUGUCAUAGCAGUCACAGCAGUGUCCUGCACGACACGCU